AUGGAGGAAAGAAAUGUGCCAAUGCCUUAUGUCUGGCAAACUGACAAACACUCAGUGAGGGAAUAUUUUAUGGAGAGAAGGAUUUCCCAGUCAUUCCCUCUUCCGUUCCUAAUCAUUGGGCAUCAUCGCCCACAAAAGCUUCCCAUAUGUGUCAGCAGGGGGUGCUGUGCCCCCAGAUACCGGACUGCAGCCAAGCCGCCACUGAAAAGGAUAAUGGAAGACUUUAUUUCAACUGGACCUUCUCUCCCGCACUCCCGCCCUUUCCCCUCAAUCUCCCCCCCUCCCUUCCCCAAAGCAGUGGCUGCGGGUAUUAGCGCAGCUGCUUCCCAGGCUCAGGUCGAGCCUUUCAAUUCAUGUUGGUGA
rnacentral:lncRNA from 1 species